UUAAAGAGUUCUAUAACUCCCAAACCCAUGUGAACAUACCUAACGUUGCCUCGGCAGGUCGCACCUACCUUGUAGCACCCUACCCUGUAGGGCCUACCCGGGAGGUGCGGGUAAGCCUGCCGGCGGCCCACCAAACUCUGUUUGAUAUUGAAUUCUGAACCUAUAACUAAAUAAGUUAAAACUUUCAACAACGGAUCUCUUGGUUCUGGCAUCGAUGAAGAACGCAGCGAAAUGCGAUAAGUAAUGUGAAUUGCAGAAUUCAGUGAAUCAUCGAAUCUUUGAACGCAUAUUGCGCCCAUUAGUAUUCUAGUGGGCAGGACCGUUCGAGCGUCAUUUCAACCCUUAAGCCUUCGUUGCUUAGUGUUGGGAGCCUACGGCAACGUAGCUCCUCAAAGUUAGUGGCGGAGUUGGUUCACACUCUAGACGUAGUAAUUUUUUAUCUCGCCUAUUAGUUGGACUAAUCCCCUGCCGUAAAACCCCCAAUUUAUCAAGGUUGACCUCGAAUCGGUUCAGACAAACUCGCUAAAUUGAAGCAUCUUAGUCAGCGAAGGAAAAGAAACCAACAGGGAUUGCCCUAGUAACGGCGAGUGAAGCGGCAACAGCUCAAAUUUGAAAUCUGGCCCUCGGGUCCG
rnacentral:rRNA from 1 species